UUUUUUUCCAAAGUUCUCAGUCCCAGCUCCAUCCUCAGCCAGUGUACCAAUGACCCAGGAUAGCAUAAGCAAUGGUCGUACUAAUCUAUUUUGUAGAGAAUAUGGUAAAAACUAUCAGAGAGAGUGUAGGGCUAGCAGUAAUAUUUGUUAUGGAAGUUGGAAACCAGGCCAUAGGCUCAGGGAGUGUUGAGUAGUUGCUCAAAGAGGUAGGGAUAUGCGCC
rnacentral:lncRNA from 1 species